rnacentral:lncRNA from 1 species
AGACAGAGUUUUCCCUAUCCGCCCAAGGCUCAUCACAUGUACCUUUUCAUCAAUAGAGAAAAACACUAGCGGAAACAUACACAAACGGCUUACACGAGGGUAAGCAAUAGCCACGAGUGAAAGAAAAAGGAAACUAAACAUUCACUUGUACUAUGAUUCAUUUUGAUCAUAUACAUUACAUCCAACUUGUACAUUUACAAUUCCUUACAUUUCAUUGCAUCAUUUCAUCAUUUCUUUCUUACAUCACAUUUACCUCAAAAGGGUGCUUUACAUUCUUUCUUUACAUCACUC